GGAGUUAGGAAAUGUAAGUACGCUAAUAUCGUGCUUAUUUGACAAAGGCUCCAAAGGAAGCCACGGCUAACUCUGUGCCAGCAGCCGCGGUAAUACAGAGGUGGCGAGCGUUGUUCGGAAUUAUUGGGCGUAAAGAGCACGUAGGUGGGUUUGUAAGUCAGAUGUGAAAGCCUUCUGUUCAACGGAAGAAUUGCAUCUGAAACUACUAAUCUUGAGUAUAGGAGGGGAGAGUGGAACUUCUG
rnacentral:rRNA from 1 species